GGGUCAGUAGGUUGGUCGUGCCACCGGUACGUACUGGUCUCACUGAUUCCUCCUUCCUGAAGAACCGUAAUGCCAUCAAUUUGGUGUUGCAGGGAAACAGGACUGUUACUUUGAAAAAAUUAGAGUGUUUAAAGCAAGCUAACGCUUGAAUACAUUAGCAUGGAAUAAUGAAAUAGGACGAUCGAUCCUAUUUUGUUGGUUUCUAGGAUUGACGUA
rnacentral:rRNA from 1 species